rnacentral:rRNA from 1 species
AGUGAACGCUGGCGGCAUGCCUAACACAUGCAAGUCGAACGGUAACAGCCCGCAAGGGUGCUGACGAGUGGCGGACGGGUGAGGAAUACAUCGGAAUUUGCCCAGUCGUGGGGAUAACGUAGGGAAACUUACGCUAAUACCGCAUACGACCUAACGGUGAAAGCGGGGAUCGCAAGACCUCGCGCGGAUGGAUAAGCCGAUGUCGGAUUAGCUAGUUGGCGGGGUAAGGCCCACCAAGGCGACGAUCCGUAGCUGGUCUGAGAGGAUGAUCAGCCACACUGGGACUGAGACACGGCCCAGACUCCUACGGGAGGCAGCAGUGGGGAAUAAUUGGAC